UAUAAAUUAUUCACAAGUUUACAGAUGAAGAAAAACAGUGGCGUCGAGGUAACAUUUAUUCAAAGUCACGGCUUACACACUAGUACAUACGCUUAGGGUUGUAAAAUAGAGACAUGUUGAUCUGACGCUUUGAACGGAGAGUCACCGAGGGACUGCCCGGCCGUGUUUGCCAAUGCCUUCUCCCCACGCCAGUCAGUGCUCGCAGGAGGGAAUGGAAAUCUAUAUAAUGAGGUGAGGUUUUGGUCGGCAUUCAAAGAUGUUUCCGCCUCUCAAGUCAACUAUUUCCAAUCGCCGAAAAGGGGAUUAAUCUGGUUUUAAUGAGUUUUUAUGACUUUUUCAAGGCAUGGUUGGUUGAUUUCACUGUUUUUUUUUUAACUUUUGUUGUUGUUGUUGUAACAGAGGUGUGCCUGAUGUCUUUUUCUUGACCCAUUUUUUGAGGCGUGGUGAGUUGGUUUUGUUGAUUUUCUAUACUUUUUUUCUGGUAACAGUGGUGUGCCUGAUGUCUUUUUCUCGACCCAUUUUUCGAGGCAUGGUGAGUUGGUUUUGUCGAUUUUUUACACUUUUUUCUGGUAACAGUGGUGUGCCUGAUGUCUUUUUUCUCAACCUGUUUUUUAAGGCACGGUGAGUUGGUUUUGUGGAUUUGUUUAUACCGCUUUUUAUACGACGGAGUUUGUAAUGCAUUAACUUAACUCUGUGAAAAUCCAACUAUAACAAUUGACAAACUUCAUCCCAAAAAUGGAAGUAGUAAAAAGCCAAACUAGCCACAUGACUUAACAAAUACUAAUAUGACAUCAACGAAAUCUGGCGCUGCUGAUUUUAGGCCUCAGCUCAAUAUUUAUCCUUCUCCGUUUUCUCCUCCUUAGAACUGACUGGCCUUGGGAGCACAGACACGGGGCCACUUCCACAGUUCACCAUGACGGGGGGUUAGUAAGCCUCCAAACCAAUACCAGAGACUUCAAAAACAUUCCUUGUUAAGUGUUUGACAUUCAUAUGCAAGUUAAAAAAUCUGAGGAAGCCGAACGGGAAAACUCUAGUAUGUCUGGUCUUGCAUGGAAAGCCUAACCAUAAUGAAUUGUAGGAGAUUAAAUAGUUUGGUUCAGGUGAUUACAAAGCCACUGUGUCGGACUGUGGAAUUGGCGCUAAGAUACAGGCAGCGCGCAGACCCCUCGGAUGACUCCUUAGUGGACGGGCUGUGUGGGGCGGGACAACAUUAAGGCUUACGUCAGCUGCUGUGGUGCGGCUGACUGUGUGAGGAACUGUAGUGGGUGGUGGAUGGAUGGACUGUGCUUGGUUUGAUUUAGUUUAGCCGGAUGCAGUGGUGUGUAUGUGUGUGUUUACCUGGUUGUGAGUACUCGGUUUUGUGGAGAAUGUGUAUAGCUUAUGUCUAGGUUGUGGCUGUCUCACCUUGCUCAAGAAUGUAUAGAUCAUGUUUUCUCGUGGUUUGGGAUCGGAAUACAUCUUUUGAGGCGUCCAACACCACACAAUUGACGAACAAACUCUUCCCCUUACACUCAAUUCCACAUACACUUCCAACCAUUUCCUUCUCGGCAUUUUUCCACAACACAAGUCUGGAGUCUGGCUGAAAGGCGUAGGAACGAUAUUUAUAAGUGAAUCUCCUUAUUGGGGUCCACGAGACAACUUUUGGGUCAGAAGUCAGUAUAUAUAAGAGGCUGAGUAAGAUAAUCUGGCAACAUUGCUUGUAAUAUAGGUAAGUGUGCAAUGGUUCAUGUCGCUUGUGGUCUGAUUUUGGAAAUGUUGCUCAAGGGUCUAAAACAGCCUCUGUCACAAGCUUUUCCCAUCCAAGUUGUGAUGUGGUCUUAGAAUACAACUUUGUGGGGAGGUGAAUCAUAGCAGCAGACACCUGAGCUAUGAAUAAGGUGAAAGGUGACAUGAACCAAAGGACUGAGACACACACACACACACACACACACACACACACACACACACACACACACUUACACGCAUACAUAAGGAGACAGCACCUGUACGCUAAUGGGAAUCUAUAAGAGACGACUAACUUACUUCCCCUUACUUCCUUACACACACAUUCACACACACAUACAUUAGCGGCAGCACCUAGUGGGAGUGUGUAUGAGAACUACCUAACUCUCCCUUGCUUCGUUACACCUUCGUUUUGAUCUGUGUGAGUGGGUUACGGUCCUAGACGGCGAUACACACUACAGAAUGGCACUGACUUGUUGCAGGAGAACGACUGUGUCUGAGUUCACAGCUGGUGGCGGCGAAGGGACCCAGAGUAGCGAGUGGACAGAGAAAUGGACGGACCCACAGAGAGACAGACAGACAGUGGCGUGUAGAGGUGAAGACAGACAGAGUACAGACAUGGGAGGUGGUAAGAGAGACAGGCAGAGAAUGAGAAACACUGAGAAAUGAAGAGAGGCAGAGAAAUGGAUGGAUGAAGCUGAAACACACACACACACACACACACACACACACACACACUCACACACACAGAAAGAGGUAGAUAGAGAGAAUGUAGAAAGAAAACACAAGAGAAACAGACAUACACAGACAGAGAGAGAUGGAGAAAAAGAAAGUAUACAGAUAAAACACACACACACACACACACACACACACACACACACACAC